UUUUCGCACUCCCAAUCUCAAUCCCACGAUCUUCAAACCACUUCCAGCAAACAUAGAACUCAAAUCCUAGAAACAAAAUCAACUUCUUCUAGCUUCUUUCAAACCAUUCCUAGGAAACAUUGAACUCAAACCAUAGAUUCGAAAUCAAUCGUCUUCUAGCUUCAAACUUAAAGGAUCGAACUUCGAUAGAAAUCGUUCCUCUAUAAUCAAACUCAGAGCAAUCAGAACUCAGAGAAAUCGAAGUUAGAGCAAUCGUUUCCCAUUAAUCGUUCCUCUUCUCCAAUCACACUCAUCUUCUCCAAUCACCCUCGUCAAUCCUAAUAUCCAAGAACCCAGAAACCACUGUGAACCCUAUCCCAUAACCCAUAAAUUCUCUUCGUCGCCGUGCUCUUACAACUCAAAUUGUUGUCAUUAAGGGUGGGGGGUAGGAUUGAUUUUUCUGCUUUAGGCUGCUCAUACAUAUUUGAUAUUUUAGGUGUUGGGGACUUUCAUCACUGAAUGGGAUGAGAGAAAGGCUAACUGUGAUAUACUACUUUCAACAAAGGAGUCUGCACAAAUGUAUGCAGAACGUCUGGCAGAGCUUGCUGUUCAUUUAGGCUUUGAUGGGUGGCUAAUAUAUAUUUCUUCAUCUCUCUGUACUUAUAAAGUUUCUAUUCUUGAGCCCUAUGUUCAAUUGCAGAUUUCUUUGAAUUUUUUAUCUCUGACUACUGCAGGAUGCCUCUUCUUCCUCCACUUUUGCUCUUUGUGGUAUGUUACUACAAUUGAUUUAGGGUUUUAGGUGAUUGGUUUGUGGUUUGUUACUACAAUUAAUUUAGGGUUUAAAGCGAUUGUUUUGUAUUUGUGGUUUGUUAUUUUUCAUAUUUGGACUAGUGAGCCUAUUAUGCCCAUCAUGUGUAUUGAACUUCAUAUUUACAAAGAAUAUAUUUGAUAUAUAUUAGAAUUAGAACUUUAGAAAAAGAUGCUUUGAAAUCAAAUUAAAUGGAGGAUAAGACCAUGCUUACCAUUUAGUCAAAAAAAAAAAAAAAGACUAUGCCUACAAUGUUUGAUUUCUUAUCAUGCUUUAGAAGUUGUGAAUUUGGCAAACAAAAUCUUCAAGCUGUGAUGCUUAGUGUUUUAGCUACAGCUGUUCUAUAUUUUUGUGUUGCUACAAUUUUUUGAUGUGUAGCUACUGCCUGUGUUUUUUUGCUAUUCGGACUGCAUUAGAGUUUUGUAUUGGAUUUGUUUUUGUAGCUUUAGAGAGGGGUACUUUGUUUGGAUGUAGCUAGCUUUUUUUAGUGUGCCUUCUGUUUUUUUGUCUCCAUCUUGGGCAUUUGGUGCUAGAAAUGUUGUAUCUUUGGCUGGUUUUUGGUGCCUUACAAUUUAGGUGUGUGGUUGGUGUUUGUGGUAUGUAUUGAGAAUGGGUAGUUUUGGUUUGUUUGUGGUUGCCAUAUAUUACAGCUGUGUUGACAUCACUACUAGGAUGUCGUCCUUUAUGAUUAGGUAUGGUAACUAGCAGCUUUCUCAAUUUUGUUGUUCUUGUUGUUGUUCGUCGAAGAGGCCUGCUAUUACUUUCUUUUUGGGUGUUUUUUUGGUCCCUGUAUAUGCUUCUUCCGGUGCCUGCUGGUCGUUACUAUGUGUGUUUUAUUGGCCUUGCAGUGCUUCUGUUUUGAGGCACAGUGUAUUUUGUGCUUUGUGAAUUUGAGAAUAAGCUUUGUUAAUCAGAUAUAUAGAAGUAUACAUCUUUUAGUUUUAUGUGAAACUGUAUUGGUGUGUGUGUGUUUCUAGAUUCUUUCUUUGAUAUAAACUGUGAUUCUUCUAUAGAAAAUCAAAAGAUAGUUAAGAUUAAGUGGUUACCAGGGAGCCGAAGAAUGUUGGAAUUGAAUAGUAUUAAGUAUAAUUGCUCUAUUUUAAGUUUGAACAGGUACAAUGUAAGAAACAAGAUGGUGGCAGGUCUUGUCUUCUCUACUUUUCUUCUGUUUUGUGGUUUGCAAGUGUUAUUUAUUUACUUCAUCUUACAUUUGGCUUCAGGUAUAUCCUUGCUACUCUCGAGGCAACGUGAUUCUCUCCUCUCCACACCUUGAACCAGUUUCAUGUGCUCUCAUGGCCAAAGGGUUGCAUGUGUUGGAAACAAUCUUAAUCUGCUGGUUUUGAGUAUUAAAAGCUAAGUGUUAGGGAACUGAUUGAAAUGGAGAAAAGAAUUGAAGGUCGGAGCUUGGAAGGACUGUUGAUGGAACAAGAAAACAAGAGGAAUUGCUUAAGUUGUGUAAAAUCCGUAUUUGGGACAGGGCUCCACUCAAACGAGUUAUAUUGAGGUCUAGGCAUGAUUUCGAAGUGGAGGGUCUGAAGCUGAGUUUGUGCAGGAAUAUGGACUGUUCGUGAAGGCAUGCUUUCGAAUUUUGGCUUUAUCAAUGCUUAGCAAUGCAUUUAAUGCUCUGUAAUUCAUAUACUGAUUAGUUUAAAUGUAAAUUAUAUUUGGAUUUGAAGAUAUCCAUUGUAUUCUAGUAACUUGUAAAGAGAUUUGAGUAACAUAUUUUCUAACCAAUACUUUUGUAUGGUACCUCUUCGAAUGUCUUAUGUGGUGUUUAAUUAUAAUCAAUGAAAUUUGUUGGCUCUUUUUUUUUUU